UGCCAGCAGCCGCGGUAAUACGAAGGUCCCAAGCGUUGUUCGGAAUAACUGGGCGUAAAGCGUGUGUAGGCUGUGUGGAAAGUCAAAUGUGAAAGCCAAGGGCUCAACCCUUGAACUGCAUUCGAUACUCCCACACUAGAGUAAUGGAGAGGUAAGUGGAAUUCUCGGUGUAGCAGUGAAAUGCGUAGAUAUCGAGAGGAACAUCAAUGGCGAAGCAACUUACUGGACAUUUACUGACGCUCAGACACGAAGGCUAGGGGAGCGAAAGGGAUUAGAUA
rnacentral:rRNA from 1 species